ensembl:lncRNA
UGUUCUCAUAGAUAUGAAUGAGUAAAUAGGACACGCCCCUUUGAGCUGCGUGCUACAGCGAGGCUAAGCUAGUGGGGCAAAGUUUCAGUGCAUUCCGUUGAUGUAGACGGCGUGAAAACGGAAACAAGUAUGCCGUCUCACUGUGCUGCAUACAAUUACACACUACGUCGUACGAUUGAGACAAGGAAACUUGGAAUGGCUUUUCAUAGGUUUCCCAGAGACUAUGGGUUGAGGAGGAAUUGGAAGUUUGUCGGCUUAGACCUGGUGUCAUUCCAUCAGUGUUAAACUUCCCGGCUCAUCUUUGAAGAGUAUGUGCCAGAAAGACCACGACCAAGCAGCCUUGAGAUCUUAGGUAGCGUCUCCCUGAGACCAAAGAACUACAGACUCUUCACAACCUGCUCAAACUCUUGGUACAGGACCUCACCACACGGGUCAAGAAGGUUUCCUUCUCACUUCUACUCUGAAGCUCACCUUCUCCUGCUCAAACUGCUGACAAAUGUUCCUGCUGCUCUAAAGUCUGGUCUCCAGAACUUCCUAAAAACUCUCAAAGUCUCUUCUGCUACAGGUUGCUUUGUAGAACUGUUCCAGAAAACCUCCCUAAACCACAUGGAGGGGCCUCAAGAUAGUCGUCCAAAUGAAACCAUACAAAAACCAAACUAGCACAACCCAAACGCUAAAGUCUCCUGCAGCCUACCAGAGAACCUCUGAGAACAGAGAAUCAGGACAGGAACUCUUACCUUCUGGACAACCAACGCUGGUUCUCAAACAAGAAUACAGAAUGUGUCUGACCAAAAACCUCUGAAGACUCACUACAGCCAAGAUAAAGACACAACUCAGCUGUACCAAAUCCACUAAUCACUGCACACAUUAACACCAUGUGCCAACUGUGGCUAAAGAACCACAUUUACCAAGACAACUAUCCAGUACAAAGCCCUAAAACACACCAAGAAACACAUUAAAGAUGAUUUUACUGCUGGAAGCUGCAAGCCAACGCCUAAAGAACAAACUGAAGCAACAGAGCCAAACCCAGUUCACUGGUGAAGAGAAGCAGAGGAAAUGUUUGUCUGCAGCUAAAUAAAGCAGGAAGACACUGAGCUGCUCAGGUGUUCCUGAUAACACCAAGCAGCCACCUGGACAGCCAAUAAAAACACAGCUUACUGGAAGUCCAGAGGGCUGGGUUAGUGAAGGAAAUUUAAUUUAAAGUUGAAGCAGAAAGUUAACAAAGAAAGUUGAAAACCACCUUCUGAUACCUGAAAUCUCUGAGUUUUCACACAAAGAACACCUGAACAUGUCAAACUGGCUUCAUAGUAGAACCAUCAUUGUAAAAACGUCAUAGUAUGGUGUGUUGCUCAAAAAACAUUAGGACCCGGCUGUCAGGGGACAAACAUGUAAGAAACAUGAGAACAGAGAGAACCCAACCAGUAGAUCACAGUUUAUCAUCCCCCAGUCAUCUCCUGAAGUCCAUAUGGUGAGAGACAUCAGUAUCUGGUUGUUAAUUUACCAGAGGAUGCUUAUAAUCAUGCUGAUGUGGUCUGUACUCUACAG